GUCUCUAGCCAUGCCAUCCUGACCAUGUCCAAUCUCAUCUGCUCUCAGAAACUAAUCAGGGUCAGGUUUGGUUAGUACUUGGAUGUGAGGAUUAAGAACUGAGGUCCUAGGGCUGGAGAGA
ensembl:rRNA 5S_rRNA 5S ribosomal RNA